CCCUUAGAUGUUCUGGGCCGCACGCGCGCUACACUGACGAAUGCAACGAGCUUAUAACCUUGGCCGAAAGGUCUGGGUAAUCUCCAAAUUUCGUCGUGAUGGGGAUAGAUUAUUGCAAUUAUUAAUCUUCAACGAGGAAUGCCUAGUAAGCGCAAGUCAUCAGCUUGCGUUGAUUACGUCCCUGCCCUUUGUACACACCGCCCGUCGCUCCUACCGAUUGAAUGUGUUGGUGAGGAGCUCGGAUUGGCAGCAGUUGGUGGUUCGCCACCGGCUAUUGCUGAGAAGUCCUCCAAACCGCCCCAUUUAGAGGAAGGAGAAGUCGUAACA
rnacentral:rRNA from 1 species